CCGCCGGUAGCUCAAUCGGAUAGAGCGUCUGACUACGGAUCAGAAGGUUGGGGGUUCGAGUCCUCCCCGGCGGG
rnacentral:tRNA from 1 species